UACCCGGAAUAGCUCCUGAAACGGUGGUAUGCCGGAUGCUCCAGUGAUUCGCAUGUCUUCUNGGGAAAGCUUCCGCGUAUNCGGAUGGGGUCGCGUCNUAUCAGCUGACGGCGGGGUAACGGCCCACCGUGGNUUCGACGGGUAGCCGGCCUGAGAGGGCGACCGGCCACAUUGGGACUGAGAUACGGCCCAGACUCNUACGGGAGGCAGCAGUGGGGAAUAUGCAUCAAUGGGCGCAAGCCUGAUGCAGCGACGCCGCGUGAGGGAUGGAGGCCUUCGGGUUGUAACCCUCUUUUAUCGGGGAGCAAGCGAGAGUGAGUUUACCCGUGAAUNAAGCACCGGCUAACUACGUGCCAGCAGCCGCGGUAAUACGUAGGGUGCAAGCGUUAUCCGGAAUUAUUGGGCGUAAAGGGCUCGUAGGCGGUUCGUCGCGUCCGGUGUGAAAGUCCAUCGCUUAACGGUGGAUCCGCGCCGGGUACGGGCGGGCUGGAGUGCGGUAGGGGAGACUGGAAUUCCCGGUGUAACGGUGGAAUGUGUAGAUAUCGGGAAGAACACCAAUGGCGAAGGCAGGUCUCUGGGCCGUUACUGACGCUGAGGAGCGAAAGCGUGGGGAGCGAACAGGAUUAGAUACCCUGGUAGUCCACGCCGUAAACGGUGGAUGCUGGAUGUGGGGCCCGUUCCACGGGUUCCGUGUCGGAGCUAACGCGUUAAGCAUCCCGCCUGGGGAGUACGGCCGCAAGGCUAAAACUCAAAGAAAUUGACGGGGGCCCGCACAAGCGGCGGAGCAUGCGGAUUAAUUCGAUGCAACGCGAAGAACCUUACCUGGGCUUGACAUGUUCCCGACCGCUCCAGAGAUGGGGCUUCCCUUCGGGGCGGGUUCACAGGUGGUGCAUGGUCGUCGUCAGCUCGUGUCGUGAGAUGUUGGGUUAAGUCCCGCAACGAGCGCAACCCUCGCCCCGUGUUGCCAGCGGAUUAUGCCGGGAACUCACGGGGGACCGCCGGGGUUAACUCGGAGGAAGGUGGGGAUGACGUCAGAUCAUCAUGCCCC
rnacentral:rRNA from 1 species